CCCUUAGAUGUCCUGGGCCGCACGCGUGCUACACUGACACUUGCAACGAGUACUUUGCUUUACCGAAAGGUAAUGCUAAUCAUCAAUAAGUGUCGUGAUGGGGAUAGAUCUUUGGAAUUAUGGAUCUUGAACGAGGAAUGCCUAGUAAGCGUAGGUCAUUAGCCUACGCUGAUUAAGUCCCUGCCCUUUGUACACACCGCCCGUCGCUCCUACCGAUUUCGAGUGGUCCGGUGAAACUUUUGGACCGUGCGACUUUAUUGUUGUCACGGAAAGUCAGUUAAACCAUACUACUUAGAGGAAGGAGANGUCGUAACA
rnacentral:rRNA from 1 species